GGUGGCUCAGUUGUAGAGUGCUUGCCUUGCAUGCAUGAGGCCCUGGGUUCGAUUCCUCAGUACCA
rfam:Dipodomys ordii contig_20485, whole genome shotgun sequence.